AGUUCUGAGCGAGACCUUUUCAGCGACAUACAAAUAUAAAAAAUCGGAUAUAAAAUAAGAAAGUUAUUGCCAAAAACGCGAUUUAGCGGUUUUUAGCGGGUGCCUAAAAAAUUUUUUUUUCUCUCGAUAUAAGUAAUUCUAAAUUUUUGUCU